AUACUUACCUUAAGACGUCAGAGGAGAUCAAGAAGUCUUUCUGGCCGAAUAUUUCUUUCUAGAGCGAUGCCUGUCUUUUUCAGGAGUCAGGCUUGCUUGCUGGGUUCCUUGUGGACUACACAUACUUGCGAAAGGUGUAUUUGCUGACGUUUCGUUUUCCUCGUUCUGCUGAUAAGCCAUUAUUCCUCUUUUGAGGGACGAUGGAGUGUUUGUCAGAGCCCUUUGUUUCUUCUGCCUGGAGAAGUAUGGUGCUGAUUACAAGUCAGCGCUGGGGAAGCUGGACGUUGAUUUUGGCCGCUUUAAGUGUCGAGGCUUCAGUUUUAUGUGAUAGUCGAUUCCCACACGGUACUUUCCGCGGUUAUUCUUGGUUAUGCUUUCGAGCGUAGUCUUGGACGACCGUGGACAUGUCAGUGUGGAGAAGGUGUGCUGUUGCGAAGUAUCGGCAUAGGACAAGAUUCACGUUUGGUAGAAACGGGUAGGUCUUAUAAUUUUUGAUGUCAAUAAUCUU
rnacentral:snRNA from 1 species